UGGGCAUCAAGAAAAUCUUCAGUGCGGAGGCUGACCUGUCAGGAAUCACAGAUACAACACCCUUGUGUGUUUCCCAGGUGGCCCACAGCGCCGUGCUGGACGUGGAUGAGGAGGGCACGGAAGGAGCCGCGUCCACAGGAGUCGUCAUAGAAAGGAAGUCCUUUGAGAAUUUCAUUGUGCGAUUUGACAGCCCCUUUCUGUUCGCCACGGUCCUCAGAGACACCCAGAGCAUCAUCUUUCUGGGCAAAGUCGUCAACCCCCGUCCAGCCUAGAGCUCCCCUCUGAGCCGUGGGGCUUCUCUCUAAGGAGCUGGGUGCUCUGGGCCCUGGGGCAGCCUGGCCUCCCGCUGACCCUUGGAAGGUGACAGUCACCUUCUGGUGGCUCCACACACACAGGGGUCUGUGCCCUGCUCCGGGGAGGCUCUGAGACCUCCCACAGCAAUAAAGCAUCUUUCUGAACUGG
rnacentral:lncRNA from 1 species